CAACCUGGUGGACUCCAUGCUGU
rnacentral:miRNA from 1 species